GGACGCUCUUGUAGAAAAAUCUGUAUGACCAAUCAGUUGCUUGUUGUUGUGGGUUGGACCGGUCUUCUCCCUGGCGCUAGCGGUGUGGUACGUAGAAGGAAGAAGCGCCUCCGCCAGCCUCACUGCGUCGUCCUCCCAGACGCUGGGACCGUCCGUCAGCCGGCCUCGGGUGCGACGCUGCAUUCUUGAUAGCUGCGUUCUUGAUCCCCAUCGCGGCAGCCUCAUGUGCAAGCUCGCUGGGACCCUCCGUCGGCCGGCCUUAGGUGCGACGCUGCAUUCUUGAUCACUGCGUUCUUGAUACCCAUCGCGGCAGCCUCGUGCAAGCUCGCUGGGACCCUCCGUCGGCCUGGGUGCGACGCUGCAUUCUUGAUCGCUGCGUUCUUUAUCGGCACUGGAUAAGAACAUGGAGGACUGUCAGGCUAUCGCCGCACCCACUACAAGUUGGCGGAUCCCCGCCAGUCAAGAGGUAGGAGUGAGUACUUUGUGGUGUGGGGACGAACCAUGGUGCCACUACUACGAGCCCGAAACACAACGGCAAAGCUUACAGUGGAAACAUUCGAAUUCACCACGCCCAAAGAAAGCAAAGGCCAUCAUUUCUGCCGCUCUCAGAAUGAACACCAUGCGCCUGGAGUUUUCUUACAAGGCAAAGCCAGGACCAUUCACCAUGACAGGAAGGCUGGACACACUGAUCACCAUCAAGGCAGUCGGUGUAAAUAUUGAUGUGUCCCGGAAACUGACUGCCCUCCUGGUAAAAGAGCUGGCCUGAGCAUACGGCACUGAAUAAGAACAUGGAGUACUGUCAGGCUAUUGCCGCACUUACCACAAGUCGGCGGAUCGCCUCCAGUCAAGAGAUAAGGCUCCUCUGGCGGCAUAUCCAGUAGGGACGAGCAUCCGCCGGGAGGUGGAUGGCAGGAGCCAGGGUCAUCCCCAGUGUACGGCAGUGCGCACACCGAUGACGCCCCAGUAGACAGGCCUGCCAGGCCUGCCAUUUGCCAGCCUGCCAUUUGCCAGGCUGGCAAAUGCGAGGACGGUCGUCUGCAUCGCAAAGCACGAUGCAGAUCGGGUACCAGUAUCCCGUUGACACACCUGGAAAACUAAUUGUCCCAGAGGAAGAAAAAGUGGAGCAAAUUAACAAGGACAGCGCGACGCGCGGGGACACCAAGGCGGCAACGGGGACACCAAAGCUACGAACCCGACUGCUCCUUGGGUUGGGGUUCGCCGAGGCCUGCGCUGCCACAAGCCAUGGGCCGCCCUAAUUCUAGCUUUGAUGCCCCCACUACCCCUUGGGUGCCCUGGACCUCCUGCGCUGCCUGCUUUAUUAUAAUCUCAGUUCAGUGCAAAGCGAGUGAGCGAUAUCUGCCUCGAAGCAGAACUCCUGAAUUUUGAAAAAGCGAGAUAAGCCGUGGACCAAAUGACAGCCGUUGGGCACAAGGAACAUUCUGAGCAACUGGCUCUCAGAAACCACACCAUGCGCCUGGAGUUUUCUCACCUACCUAAGGCAGGACCAUCUACAAUGAAGGAUGGGCUCGACACACUGAUAAGAGUCAAGGCUGUGGGUGUAAAUAUUGACAUGUCCCGCAAACUGACUGCACUCCUGAUCAGGGAGCUGGCGUGAGCUUUCGGCACUAAAUAAAAACAUGGAGUACUGUCAGACUAUUUCUGCACUUACCACAAGUCGGGAGAUCGCCUCCAGUUAAGAGAUAAGGACCUUACUGACGACUUAUGCAGACAUGGUCACAAUGAAAGAAGAUGUGUCUAUAGAGGACCAAUAAAGGUGCGUUUCAACCCAUACAACAAGACUUGCGACUACUAUCUUCCACCUUGC